rnacentral:rRNA from 1 species
UACGUAGGGUGCAAGCGUUGUCCGGAAUUAUUGGGCGUAAAGAGCUCGUAGGCGGUGUGUCGCGUCGGUCGUGAAAACUUGGGGCUUAACCCUGAGCUUGCGGUCGAUACGGGCAUCACUGGAGUUCGGCAGGGGAGACUGGAAUUCCUGGUGUAGCGGUGAAAUGCGCAGAUAUCAGGAGGAACACCGGUGGCGAAGGCGGGUCUCUGGGCCGUAACUGACGCUGAGGAGCGAAAGCAUGGGGAGCGAACAGG